rnacentral:lncRNA from 1 species
GUUUCUAAUUUAAUCCCUCUGUGGUCAGAGCACUUGGCCUACAGGACUUCAAACUUUUCAAAUGUAUUGAGGUGGGUUUUAUGGCCAGCAAAUGUGGUCUGUCUGAUGAGCAUACCAGCAUGUCACAAUUCUGUUGGUUUAUACCCACAAAGACCAUAUUACAAUUUUUGAACAGUUAUUGUUUAUGAAAACAAAGGUAAAGGGAAAAAGGCAAAAUAACUUCUUUUGCAUUGAUCGAAGUAUUUACAUUCCUGUUUUUCAUUGUUUUCUGAAAAUCUUGGAAUUCUGACUGGUAUCAAUUUUCCUCUGAAGAAAUUUCUUUUAGCAUUUCUUAGAGUGGCAAUUUGCUGGUGAACAAUCCUCUAAAUUUUCUUUUAAAUGAAACGUCUCUCUCUAUUUUGCCUUUGGAGGUGGGGUUACUGGGAAUUGAACCCAGGGCUCCAUACGUGCUAAGCACUUGCUGUGUCACUGAGCUGAACACCAGCCCACACAUUUAUUCUUAAGUGAUAGUUUCUCUGAGUUGACAGGUGGUUUUUUGUUUUUGAUGUUGUUUUGAUUUCAGGACUGUAAAAAUGUUGCUGUACUCUCUUUGGCUUUCCUUGGUUUUUAGAGAAAAGUCAGCUGACACUGGAUUGUUGUUCUUCUGUAUCAAGGUACAGGUUUGGGGCAUGUGCGUCUGUUCCUUGCUUCCAGGAGGCAUCUUGUUGCUGUUCCCCUACCUGGUAGAAGACAGAAUGAUAAAGGUGGCAAACACUGUGUUGUCACAGGGCAGAAGAGAUCGAUGGGGACAAACCCAGUGGACUCUUGUAAGGGUCCUCAUGUCAUCCCUGAGGGCUUCACCUUCGUGACUGAAUCACCUCCUAAAGGCUGCACCUCUUAACAUAAUCACACUGGCAAAUGCAUUUCCAACAGAAAGCCUGUUCGGGACACACUUGGACCACAGCGGCUUCCAGCAGAUGUGCCUUGACGUUGGCCUCCUUCUGUGAAAUAUGUCUCGUAUCUGCAGCUUUUGGUCUUUCGACCAAUUUGGGAAACUUUCAGUUGUUAUUCCUUCAAGCGUUUCUUUUCUGUUCUUUCUCCCCUCUUAUUCUGGUGUUCCAGUUACACAUAUAACUUACCAUUUGAUGUCAUCUCACAGCUCACUAAGGGUCUGGUUCUUUCCAGUCCUUGCCCCUCCCUCUCCCUCUCUGCUCCCCUCUUCACCUAGUGUAUUUCUGUGGAUCGAUCUUCACGUUUUCUUAUUCUUUCAUCCAUCACAGUCAUUCAGUUUUUAGUCUAGUAAGUGAAUUCUUAUUUACGAAAUUGUAUUUUUUUAAGUUUGGUUCUUUGUUUCUAUUUGUUUCCUCUUUGCUGUUUCUGUUUCCUUGUUCAGACUUUCAUUUCUCUGCUGGUGUUUGUAGUCCUUGAAAUCAUGGUUGUGCUCUUUCCCUGAGGGGAGUUAGAAGAGCAAAUUCAAAAUCCUUUUCUGUUAGGUCCAACAUCUGGUUCAUUAUAAGGUUGGGCUUGGUUGAAUUUUUUUCUGUUAAGAAUGUUUCCUAGUUUUUUUUUUUCCAUAUCGUGUAAUUUUGGAUUGUGUCCUGAGUAUUAUGAAAGUUAGUUUGUGGAGAUUCUGGAUUUUUCUUUUCUCUAAGGAGUCUUUUUCCUCUGUGUUAGCAGAUAUCAGUCUCCGCUCGACCUGAACGCACACUCUUUUUCUUGGAUGGAAGUCUCGGUUUGGAAUUUCUGUGGUUGCUGCUGUCUUCAGCUGAGCCAUUUUGUGUCUGCUCCAUGGUACUUGGGUCAGGGUUCAGUCAGAGACGUGGGAAGGCUGAGUUGGGAUCUUCUCUCUUUUCCCCUUGUAAGCGUCUCUUUCUCUUUUAAGUGUCCACUUUUCUGAUUUUUCAGAAAAAAUCAGGCUGCAGGUGUUUUUCGUGUCUGUCCCUGGUAUUGCCGUGUGCACCGAGUGCAGGCUUCUCUUGGCCUCCAGCUAAGACCUGGGCAUGGGGACUGACUGAGUUGUGACCCUCCUCUCCCUCCCGACAGCUCACGGUCUUCACUAGGAGCCAGUGAUGGUGAACCUUUUAGAGCUUUUGGUAAUAACACAUGGCCCACUGUGGCAUGCGUGCCACAGGUGGGGGACUGCAUAACUCUGUAAUCAUAAAACUCCCCUAGCCCCAACUGUAAAUGUGAGUAAAUAGAUAAAGAUGCUUGUUAGUUCCAGGACACUAGAUAAGAUCUGUAUCAGCCAUAAGGUCCCAAAGUAAAUUACUCAACUCUUUGUUCGAAACUGAUGUUCCGGACACCGCUAUCUAUAGAACAAUCUACAAACAUCUGCUGACCAUCAGUACGUGUCAGCUGACCACUAACCUUUGUUCCUCUUCUGUAAAUUUCGCCUGUUAACUUCCCCUGCAAAAAAGAGCCUUGGACUCUGGGCUAGUCGCCUCUCUAAGCUACUUUGCUUUGGGAGUGCAGUCUGGCCAGACUAAGGUCUGUUUUACUUUCCAACUUGUCCGGUGUGUUCCUUCCCAGGUGUUCUUCCCUGCAGUCAGCUCCUCAGAGCGUUUGGUAAGGCCCUCGGUCUUACACAGGUUCGCCACCUCUGCAAAGCCAUCUGCCCCUGCUGUUCCCCAGCGCUGCGGGUAGUUGCUUCUGUGUCCUGUUCAGAUUUUGUGGUUGUUCUGCAGGAGCUGAGUCCUCUGGGAGGGUCUUGGCUGUUACUUCCAGAAGUAGAAAUGUAGGGCUCCUAUUUGCCAGGGAAGAUGUUCCUAAACUUACAGUGGAGUCAUAUCCUGGUAAACCAAUAAUAAAUUGAAAAUGUCAUCAGUCAAAAAUGUAUCUAAUCCACCUGACCCACCGAACAGCAUAACUUAGCCACACAGUACACUGUAGAGUAUUGGUUGUUUCCCCGCAUGAUCAAAAAUUAUAGGAUAUUGUUACGAUUAUAUUCCUAACCUUAAAUGCUUUUUAUUAUUUAUAAAAGACAUGAAAUAAAAGAUUCAGUUAAAUAAAUUAGAAAAAUAAGAUAAUCUUUUUUUUUUUUUUGGUACCGGGAAUCAAACUCAGGGCCUUGUGCUUGCCAGACAGGCGCUGUGCUGCUGAGCUACAUCCCCAGCCCAGAAAAAUAAGAUAAUCUUAAGGAAAAUAGAAUAAGAAAAUGAUAAAAGGAAACAUAAAUGAAUUAGAGAUAACAGAGUAGAAUAAAACAUCAACUAGUCUCUGAAAAACAAUAAAGCAAACAACAGUUUUAAUCAAGAGAAAAAGAAUAUUUAUCUGAGCUAAAAUUACAAGUGAAAUAUGAAAUACAAAGACAGACAUGGGGAAUUUAAAAACUAAGACUCUGUAGAGCUCCAGCAGGAUAUAUGAAUGAAAUACAGGAUGUUUGCGGAAAAUAUUUAAUCAUCAGUAUCGUCAUAAGAGGGGCUGGAGUGUAGCUCAGGCAUAGAGCUCUACUUAGCAGUGCAAGGCCCUGGCUUCCAUCCCCAGCACCAGAGUUUUAAAAAAAUCCAGAUUUACUUUAAUACCAGUAAUAACUGAUAAUAACUGAAUAGACUAAUAUUCACAGAAGAAGCAUAGUUGCCUCCCCAAAAUGACUCUUUCCUUAGUUUUAUGAAUGUGUUCAGUUAAACUUCCAAUUCCUGGACCACAUCCAUGGUUCCCAGGCUGGGGAGUGGAAGAGGAAGAAAUCAGUUUUAAUAUUUGGAAAAACAGCUUAGUGAUGACAUCAAAUCCUGUCAGUGGUAGAAGAUAACAGAGAAGCGGGGAAUCUACAAACCAGUUUCACUGAAGACAAUAGAUGUGAAAACAUUAAUCACACUAAUAACGAAAUGAAUUGAGCAUUGUAUUAAAACAAUAGUUCAGCUGUCACUUUGAUCAAUAUGAUGAAUUAGAUUCUUUGAAGGACCCUCCAGGUUGAAACAGAACAAAAAGAGAAUCUGCCUAAAACGUAUUAUCUUAGUUGCAUUACUGGGCCUAUAGGAAUUGAGAAGCCUUUCAGGUAGGUUGGGAUUGGUGGGAGGUGGAUGCGGAAGUGGUAACACAGCAUUCGGGAAAGACUGGGUUGCUAUAGUGAUGGGGAGGGAGUCAACAUUAUUUCCUUAGCCCACAUUUAUGAAGUACCUGCCAUAUACUGGGCCCUGUUCUAGGGAAUGGAAAUAUAGCAGUGAAAAUCUUUUGAGUUCCUGCCCUCCCUGGGACCUUACAUGCUGAUACAGGGGAAAGGCGAUACAAUAAACUAGCAAAUAUCAUAAUAUUUUGGAUAUUAGUCUUAUGGAGAAAAAUUAAACGGGAGGAGAAGACAUGUUGAACAGGUGACGGUUUUAUAUGGGGUCAUUGAGGGGCGCCUCACUGAGCAGAGAUUGUGAGCCGACUUGGAGAUGCUGCAGCAAGCCAGGCAGAUGGGAAGGGAAGAAUUCCCAGUGGACUGCUUUGUAGAGAAUGCAGUGCUUUGUGUGCAGGCAGUGCAGGAGGAACAGCAAGGCCAGGAGCAAAUGAGGGAAAAGAAUGGUAAAUCAGAAAAAGGACAUGCAGUGACCUACCUGCUACUUCCAUAGGGUGAGCUAAUGGAGAUGUCCUGGGGACACUGACCCACACCUGUUAAGUCUUUGAGGGUGGUAUUAACUUCUCCAAAGGGUCCACCUUCAUUCAUUUUCUGUACACUGAGGAGAGGAGCAAAGUCUAGGGGUUUUAAGGUCGGUUGUGUUUGGAAUCCGAUUGUCACUGAUUCCAGAGAACCGAAAGACACCUGUCCCGGAUGGGUACACUGGACAGAGGCAGCUAGGCCUGGCCCAAACUCAACUCACCUACCACCUAUCCGGUGAGCCCAUGGACCUGCCCUGGGUCGUUGUCCAGUCCUGGGUAACAUCGUCAGGAUACACGUUCUUCGCUGCAGCUGAGACCUCACGUGGUUUCCCUGGCCUGGAGUAAAGACAGUUUUAGGGAGGAGAGUCAAUCUGAAAUCCCCAAAACCCUGCCUCCUCAGCCAAGAGAGUAAAGCAGAAGGGGUAGGACAUCCCAGGAAGAUGGCGAGGAUUAGUUAAAUCUGGAAAAGUUAAUCAGAAUAAAAAUAGGAAAGAUGGAGACCAGGAUGGACAUUGCUUUUCUUGUCCUGAGCUAGGCUUGGCUUAAAGACCAAGUUUAAGACGUGAGCCAGCAGGCUCCUGUCACUGUCUGCAGGCUUGUCAGUGGCCCUUGGGGUUCUUCUGCGGGUCACAGCCAUGUUGGGAGCCAUUAUCUGUCGGAGGGAUUUUAAGGAAGCUUGGCUUUAAGAAUAUUCAUCCUAAGGAUGGGCCUCACAGUUGUGUGAUUGACUGUCCUGAUGCAGCCUUAAAUGGCAUCAUCCAUCCCCCAAGAGCGGGGGAUGCCCCUAUCCACGUCUAGGAGUGAUUGGAACACACUACCUGACCAGUGACCUUGAGACUCUCGGUCCGGGUCCGUCCCAGAGUGACAUCGCAAACUCCUGAGACACCGCUGUGCUUCCAGACUCCAGGAAAAGGCCAUGCUUCUCAGACCGCAGUGGGGGCAGCUUAUAAACAGGCAUGAAUGGAGCACAGCCUGCUGAAGGAGCCUCACUGCCAAGACAAAGUGGGCAGAGUGUUGCUGUGUGACCCUGUCUUAGCCAGCUUUUUGUUACUGAGACACAGUACCGGACAGCCACAACUUUAAAAGGGGGGCAGGUUUACUUGGGCUGUGGUCAGUGACCUGAGGCACAAAUGGUGUGGCAGAAGGGCCUGGGUGGAGAAGGAGAGGAGAGAACCAAGAAGGGAGUCACGGAGGCAGGGCCACCCGUCCAGGUCACACCCUGGGGACCUGCCAGCACAUCAGGCAUGGUGUCCUGUGCUCCGAUCGCCUUCCCGAGCCCUGUCUUGGAGUGGGUCAGGCUGCGGGGAUGACAUCUAGAUGUAAACCAUGGCAUCUGUGAGGAAAUGUCUUCAGUGGGCUGGUGGCAUCUGACCGGACGAGGUAUAACGGCACCGAGUGCCCAUGCUGUUUGCCAUAUCCUGUUACUAAGGGCACCAAGCUGCAGGGCCCAGGCUGUCCCAGGGCAGUUUGCACUUACGGAAGUGAGCUCCGGUUUACUCAAAAUUAAGUGGGCUGAGAGCCUGUGACAAAGAAUAACCAAUUGAAAACAACAGUAAAAAAUAAAGUUUCCGGCAAACUUUAUGUGCCUUUCAGCCAUUUUUUAAACUUCCCAUGUUUUCUUAUUUAAAGUAUGAGGAUGAAUGGAAAUAUUUAUGAAUCCUAGGGCAGUUUUUCUAAAUUUGAUAUGUUUCUUAGAAUUUUUCCAGAUUAGGGAAUAUUUUCCCAAAUUUGUUUAAAUCACACUUAUUCUCCUUGGCUAACAAUGUUUCCAUGAAUUUUUAAUUUUCUUUUUGUUUCUGAGUAAAUUGCUGAAAGAAUAGUCAUCAAAAAUGAAUCUUUCAGAUCCCUAAAUUUGUAUAGCUAACGAUGAUUUUACAUUUAAAUGAAAUUUCAAGUAGUUUUGGUUGUGUUUUUUUUGGUACUUUCUCAGUUAUUUUGCUUUCUACACUGACUUAAAUUCCUUUUCAGUUAGUAUUUCUGGCUUUAAUGGUAUUGCUUCACCAUUACCCCAGUCAGCGAGUCUGGUGUGCACACGCGUGUGCUGGACAGAGGGCCUUGGCUGUGCCAUGCGAUGUUUUCAGUGUCGCUAAGACCCUCAUCUGUGGUCACCAUGUUCCUGUGUCUGGCUCCUGGACGCCCACGGGAUCCUGUGGAAUGGCGUAGAAGACGG